UCACCAAAACACCACCGCAAGCGAAAAUCCCUAUUUCUCCCCACCACUUACCAUCAUCACUCAACUCUUUCUCUGAAGUCAAGUGAGCUGAUGAUUCUAAACUUGAUAAUUAAACAACCCUGAUCUAUCGAUCGUUCAAUUGUGAUUUUUCAGAGAUAAAACCCUAGACGUUUCUCCACCUUUACAUACCUUUUGCAAGAUGAUUUUCUUUCUGUAAUUUGAACUGAUUUCAAUUCGAUACAAUUGAAUCUGUUUUUCACUGAGGAGAAUCUUUUGGUAUUUGAUUUAUUCGUUCGUAUAUUUGUCUUCUGAUAAUGUUGAAGUAAAAAAGAAAAUUGAAUCUGGAUAGAUAGGGUUCGAUUUUCUUCUGAAAAACUACUUAUUUUGAUUUUCUUCUGUAACUUUCCAAACCUUAAGUAAAUGUUUCUUUAGAUUUCUGAUUCAAUUGUAAAUCCUAACUAAUUUUUGUUUUGAUUUUAGUUUCAGACACCCCAAGUUUCAGAUAGGGCAUCUGUUUAGGUAAGGUUUACGAAUCUUUAGCUCGUGAUGGAAAGGUUAGAGGGAAAACUCUAGCUAAACUAGACAAGAAAACCAGCCUACUGCUAGAGCUCAUAUGAGGAAUCUAACAACUGCCGGCUUGGAGCAAUGGAAGAAUGCAUGCAACCAAACACAGAGUAAUGGUGAAAGGAGAAAAAGAUAGUUAUAUGGAUACUCUUAUGGAUCCUCUGCUAUUUCUGCCUUUUAACUGCAGAGAUUAUAUUCUGUAUCUUAGGGCCAAUUUCUACCUUGAUUCUGCACUUGAUACCUUUGCCGGUACUGUUGGAGGAGCAGUUUGAUCACAAUGCAACAUUCUUUCGCAUCUCUUAUCUUAUUAUCGGUACUUUGUAGCAUGCAUGCAAGUGAAAACCCACCACAAAUUCGUGCUUGAGAGUAAUUUGCGAUUUCAUUGCAUAUUGAAAUGUUUCGUUCUCAGUAUCUUUUUACAUGAGUUUUAUUUAUUAAUAAUUGGUUUUCUAAUGAUUCAUUUAUAGUUCACACGGAAAUGAUUACUGGUCACUAAGGUCUAAUCUCUAAGUGGGUACUUCAUUGACCAACUAUUGAUUCGGUUGACUAACAGCUGACUUGGUUAAACAUUUCUAUGUUGAUGUCAGUUUGUUUACUCGUAAGAUUGAUUGUAAUAUCUAGCCAUUCGUUACUUUUGCAGUUUGGAGACUUUCAUCUGAGGAACCUUAUUAGUGAUGUCAGGUUUCUAAGGCUCCACCGACCUCUGAAACGGCAUUUGGAGUGUAUCCAAAGACGCAUUUCGUUAGAAAUAUCGACUCAGUGCUACAACAUCCUCCAAACGCAAAAUGUUAUUGGAGUAUUGGAUUGUUAUAGUGCAAGGGUUCAAGCAACGUGCAACAGGGAACAUGGAUGAUCCAUUUCUAAUCCCUGGUAUAUAUUUGAUAAGAAGCAGCUGCCUGUAGGUAAUAGACUUGCUCGGAAACUUGUUCAACGACCCUUUUUGAGGCGGCAGCUAGGGAAUCGAGGCUUGGUGGUGUUCCCUAUAAAAUGGCGGAAAGCAUGUGGCUCCAUGCUCAUCUUAUCCAAGAUUUGAUCUCUAUUUCUCGAACAAGUGUUCCUAAAUACCCGAGUUGGAUACUUCGCUGUCGUUGAUGACUUGGAGCUCGACUAAUUUUCAGCGAGACAAUGAAGUGGGUGUUGCUCUCUUUGCAACUGAUGGUAAUUUCCUGAGAUCCUGUAAGAACGUUGAAUUUGGAUUCAAGACUGCCCGAGAACCUGUUGAAGAUCUGUGAUAACCCUUGAAUACUUAAGUGAAAAUCAUAGUGGGAGAAGAAACUUGGACAUUGUGGCUUUCAUUGUAGUUUUCUUAUGGCACCCUUUUCCAGCCAACGGCGGAAAAUCUGAAUUAAUACAACUCUGAAUCCAGAAAUGCAACUUAAAUGUAUGAAUUCAUUAUAAUUGAAUACUUUAUUUUUUUGUGAUUUUGAAUCCAAGUAUGAAUUCAGUUAUGAAGUGUUAAGAGUGCAGUCAUGAAUUGGUGUAACAAUGAAUUUUUAUUUGAAUUUAUAAAUCCAGGUCUGAUUUUAGUAUAA